CUAAGCCAUGCAAGUCGAACGAGUUUAGGCUCGUGGCGUACGGCUCAGUAACACGUGGAUAACCUACCCUUAGGACCGGGAUAACCUUGGGAAACUGAGGACAAUACUGGAUAGGCAAUUUUUCCUGUAAUGGUUUUUUGUUUAAAUGUUUUUUCGCCUAAGGAUGGGUCUGCGGCCGAUUAGGUAGUUGGUUAGGUAAUGGCUUACCAAGCCGUUGAUCGGUACGGGUUGUGAGAGCAAGAGCCCGGAGAUGGAACCUGAGACAAGGUUCCAGGCCCUACGGGGUGCAGCAGGCGCGAAACCUCCGCAAUGUGAGAAAUCGCGACGGGGGGAUCCCAAGUGCCAUUCUUAACGGGAUGGCUUUUCAUUAGUGUAAAAAGCUUUUGGAAUAAGAGCUGGGCAAGACCGGUGCCAGCCGCCGCGGUAACACCGGCAGCUCUAGUGGUAGCAAUUUUUAUUGGGCCUAAAGCGUCCGUAGCCGGUUUAAUAAGUCUCUGGUGAAAUCCUGUAGCUUAACUGUGGGAAUUGCUGGAGAUACUAUUAGACUUGAGACCGGGAGAGGUUAGAGGUACUCCCAGGGUAGAGGUGAAAUUCUGUAAUCCUGGGAGGACCGCCUGUUGCGAAGGCGUCUAACUGGAACGGUUCUGACGGUGAGGGACGAAAGUUAGGGGCGCGAACCGGAUUAGAUACCCGGGUAGUCCUAACUGUAAACGAUGCGGACUUGGUGUUGGGGUGGCUUUGAGCUGCUCCAGUGCCGAAGGGAAGCUGUUAAGUCCGCCGCCUGGGAAGUACGGUCGCAAGACUGAAACUUAAAGGAAUUGGCGGGGGAGCACCACAACGCGUGGAGCCUGCGGUUUAAUUGGAUUCAACGCCGGACAUCUCACCAGAGGCGACAGCUGUAUGAUAGCCAGGUUGAUGACUUUGCUUGACUAGCUGAGAGGUGGUGCAUGGCC
rnacentral:rRNA from 1 species